ACUUCGAUAGCACAGUUGGUAGAGCAGCAGACUGUAGAUGCUAAAAUAGCUGUCCUGAGGUCACUGGUUCAAAUCUGGCUUGAAGAC